UACGUAGGGCGCGAGCGUUGUCCGGAAUUAUUGGGCGUAAAGAGCUCGUAGGCGGCCUGUCGCGUCGGUUUGUGAAAGCCCGGGGCUCAACCCCGGGUCUGCAGUCGAUACGGGCAGGCUAGAGUUCGGUAGGGGAGAUCGGAAUUCCUGGUGUAGCGGUGAAAUGCGCAGAUAUCAGGAGGAACACCGGUGGCGAAGGCGGAUCUCUGGGCCGAUACUGACGCUGAGGAGCGAAAGCGUGGGGAGCAAACAGG
rnacentral:rRNA from 1 species